UACGGGGGGGGCAAGCGUUGUUCGGAAUUACUGGGCGUAAAGAGCUCGUAGGUGGUUUGUCGCGUUGUUCGUGAAAACCGGGGGCUUAACCCUCGGCGUGCGGGCGAUACGGGCAGACUUGAGUACUGCAGGGGAGACUGGAAUUCCUGGUGUAGCGGUGGAAUGCGCAGAGUAUCAGGAGGAACACCGGUGGCGAAGGCGGGUCUCUGGGCCGAUACUGACGCUGAGGAGCGAAAGCGUGGGGAGCGAACAGG
rnacentral:rRNA from 1 species